GAUUUCAACUAAAAAAGUCAUCAACAACAAAGUUGUAUAACUCAUUAAGAUCUAUAACUUUUAUUUUUGUUAUUUCUUCAUCCGACAAAGUGUUAGUAAUAUUGUUCACAAAAUUGACAUAUCUGUGUUAUAGUUUAUAAAACCAGAUGAGAGGUAUGUGAAUUUUAUGAACAAUGUUACUAUCACUUUAUCGGAUAAAGAAAUAACCAAAAUAAAAGUUAUAGAUCUUGAUGAGUUAUACAACUUUGUUGUUCAUGACUUUUUCAGUUGAAAUC
rnacentral:pre_miRNA from 1 species